rnacentral:rRNA from 1 species
AUUGAACGCUGGCGGCAGGCUUAACACAUGCAAGUCGAGCGGAGAUGAGGUGCUUGCACCUUAUCUUAGCGGCGGACGGGUGAGUAAUGCUUAGGAAUCUGCCUAUUAGUGGGGGACAACAUUCCGAAAGGAAUGCUAAUACCGCAUACGUCCUACGGGAGAAAGCAGGGGAUCUUCGGACCUUGCGCUAAUAGAUGAGCCUAAGUCGGAUUAGCUAGUUGGUGGGGUAAAGGCCUACCAAGGCGACGAUCUGUAGCGGGUCUGAGAGGAUGAUCCGCCACACUGGGACUGAAACACGGCCCAGACUCCUACAGGAGGCAGCAGUGGGAAAAUUGGACAAUGGGGGGAACCCUGAUCCAGCCAUGCCGCGUGUGUGAAGAAGGCCUUAUGGUUGUAAAGCACUUUAAGCGAGGAGGAGGCUACUGAGACUAAUACUCUUGGAUAGUGGACGUUACUCGCAGAAUAAGCACCGGCUAACUCUGUGCCAGCCGCCGCGGUAA